GCGUGCAGGAAGACGGCCCUAUGGGUUGUAAACUGCUUUUAUACAGGAAGAAACACUCCCUCGUGAGGGAGCUUGACGGUACUGUAAGAAUAAGGACCGGCUAACUCCGUGCCAGCAGCCGCGGUAAUACGGAGGGUCCGAGCGUUAUCCGGAAUCAUUGGGUUUAAAGGGUCCGUAGGCGGGCAGCUCAGUCAGUGGUGAAAGUUUGCAGCUCAACUGUAAAAUUGCCAUUGAUACUGGUUGUCUUGAAUCAUUAUGAAGUGGUUAGAAUAUGUAGUGUAGCGGUGAAAUGCAUAGAUAUUACAUAGAAUACCAAUUGCGAAGGCAGAUCACUAAUAAUGUAUUGACGCUGAUGGACGAAAGCGUGGGGAGCGAACAGGAUUAGAUACCCUGGUAGUCCACGCCGUAAACGAUGGAUACUAGCUGUUCGAUCUUCGGAUUGAGUGGCUAAGCGAAAGUGAUAAGUAUCCCACCUGGGGAGUACGUUCGCAAGAAU
rnacentral:rRNA from 1 species